rnacentral:rRNA from 1 species
GAUCCUGGCUCAGGAUGAACGCUAGCUACAGGCUUAACACAUGCAAGUCGAGGGGCAGCAUUUUAGUUUGCUUGCAAACUAAAGAUGGCGACCGGCGCACGGGUGAGUAACACGUAUCCAACCUGCCGAUAACUCGGGGAUAGCCUUUCGAAAGAAAGAUUAAUAUCCGAUGGUAUAUUAAAACCGCAUGGUUUUACUAUUAAAGAAUUUCGGUUUAUCGAUGGGGAGUGCGUUCCAUUAGUUUGUUGGCGGGGUAACGGCC